AACGAACGCUGGCGGCAUGCUUAACACAUGCAAGUCGAACGCCACGCCCGGGGUUCGGCGGGCGGGUGAGGAACGCGUGGGGAGAUAACCAUUGGUGUGACACAACUCUGGGAAAGUGGUGAUAUUACGGGGUAGGGGCUAAUGGGGAAAGAGUUAUCGUCCAGAGAGCUGGGCGCGUGUGAUUUUCGAGUGGGUGGGGUGACGGCGCGCCACGGCGACGAGCUGUAGCUGGGCGGAGAGGAUGAUCAGCCACACUGGGGAUGAGACACGGCCCAGACUCCUACGGGAGGCAGCAGUGGGGAAUAUUGGACAAUGGGCGCAAGCCUGAUCCAGCCAUGCCGCGUGAGUGAUGAAGGCCUUAGGGUUGUAAAGCUCUUUUGUCCGAGAAGAUAAUGACUGUACCGGGAGAAUAAGCCCCGGCUAACUACGUG
rnacentral:rRNA from 1 species